rnacentral:rRNA from 1 species
UUGGAGGGCAAGUCUGGUGCCAGCAGCCGCGGUAAUUCCAGCUCCAAUAGCGUAUAUUUAAGUUGUUGCAGUUAAAAAGCUCGUAGAUGAAUUUCGAGAUCAGUACGCUGGUCGUGCCUUCGGUAUGCACUGGUGUCACUGGUUUCUCCCUUCUGAAGAACCGUCAUGUCAUUAAGUUGGUGUGGCGGGGAAUCAGGACUGUUACUUUGAAAAAAUUAGAGUGUUUAAAGCAGGCUCGCGCUUGAAUACACUAGCAUGGAAUAAUGAAAUAGGACGUUUGACCCUAUUUUGUUGGUUUCUAGGAUCGACGUAAUGAUUAAUAGGGAUAGUUGGGGGCAUUAGUAUUCAAUUGUCAGAGGUGAAAUUCUUGGAUUUAUUGAAGACUAACUACUGCGAAAGCAUUUGCCAAGGAUGUUUUCAUUAAUCAAGAACGAAAGUUAGGGGAUCGAAGACGAUCAGAUACCGUCGUAGUCUUAACCAUAAACUAUGCCGACUAGGGAUCGGAUGAUGUUAAUUUUUUAAUGACUCAUUCGGCGCCUUACGGGAAAC